GAGUGAAGCGGCAAAAGCUCAAAUUUGAAAUCUGGCUCUUUCAGAGUCCGAGUUGUAAUUUGAAGAAGGUAUCUUUGGGUCUGGCUCUUGUCUAUGUUUCUUGGAACAGAACGUCACAGAGGGUGAGAAUCCCGUGCGAUGAGAUGAUCCAGGCCUAUGUAAAGUUCCUUCGAAGAGUCGAGUUGUUUGGGAAUGCAGCUCUAAGUGGGUGGUAAAUUCCAUCUAAAGCUAAAUAUUGGCGAGAGACCGAUAGCGAACAAGUACAGUGAUGGAAAGAUGAAAAGAACUUUGAAAAGAGAGUGAAAAAGUACGUGAAAUUGUUGAAAGGGAAGGGCUUUGAGAUCAGACUUGGUAUUUUGUAUGUUACUUCUUCGGGGGGUGGCCUCUACAGUUUAUCGGGCCAGCAUCAGUUUGGGCGGUAGGAGAAUUGCGUUGGAAUGUGGCACGGCUUCGGUUGUGUGUUAUAGCCUUCGUCGAUACUGCCAGCCUAGACUGAGGACUGCGGUUUAUACCUAGGAUGUUGGCAUAAUGAUCUUAAGUCGCCCGUCUUGAAACACGGACCAAGGAGUCUAACGUCUAUGCGAGUGUUUGGGUGUAAAACCCGUACGCGUAAUGAAAGUGAACGUAGGUGGGGGCCCGUAUGGGUGCACCAUCGACCGAUCCUGAUGUCUUCGGAUGGAUUUGAGUAAGAGCAUAGCUGUUGGGACCCGAAAGAUGGUGAACUAUGCCUGAAUAGGGUGAAGCCAGAGGAAACUCUGGUGGAGGCUCGUAGCGGUUCUGACGUGCAA
rnacentral:rRNA from 1 species